rnacentral:tRNA from 1 species
GGAGACGUGGGUGAGUGGCAGAAACCAACGCUUUGCUAAAGCGUCAUACGGGCAACCGUAUCGAGGGUUCGAAUCCCUCCGUCUCCGCCA